GUAGUCCUGGAAAACUGUUGGGCAACACUAUCCAAGGACAUAGAAUACAAACCUAGAUGGGAUUUGAUUGUUGAUGGAUGUGCCAAUCCUAAAGACCCUGAACAGACCAUCUUCCAUCCUGUAAUCGCAGAUGACAGAGUGGACAUCCCAGAUCACUUCAAAAGAUUUGAAGUUAAAACAUUUGCUUUCAAAGAGGAUGAUGAGAGUUCUGAAAGUAAUGAUGCCACCUUGGCCAGAAGGGACACUGCUGAUGGACGUUGCUACAAAGAGUGUCCAGAAGCUCAGAAUCCGGAUGGGAGCAGUUCGAAUAGAGUUUGCAGAAGUUCAGGCUUUUCAGAGGAAGCCCUGCAGCAUGUGUCUAUAGGCCCCAUUCUGUUGAUAUGAACCUGUACGUUUAAGAUUUCCAAAUUAUCUCAGGAAAUGUACUUGAGUAAUUCUGAAGGCAUCAACACAAGGAGACUUCUGGUUUUGUACACCACUUGGUGCAACAUGGAACUCGAAUUAU